UCAGAUUGAACGCUGGCGGCAGGCCUAACACAUGCAAGUCGAGCGGAUGAAGRGAGCUUGCUCUCUGAUUCAGCGGCGGACGGGUGAGUAAUGCCUAGGAAUCUGCCUGGUAGUGGGGGACAACGUUUCGAAAGGAACGCUAAUACCGCAUACGUCCUACGGGAGAAAGCAGGGGACCUUCGGGCCUUGCGCUAUCAGAUGAGCCUAGGUCGGAUUAGCUAGUUGGUGAGGUAAUGGCUCACCAAGGCGACGAUCCGUAACUGGUCUGAGAGGAUGAUCAGUCACACUGGAACUGAGACACGGUCCAGACUCCUACGGGAGGCAGCAGUGGGGAAUAUUGGACAAUGGGCGAAAGCCUGAUCCAGCCAUGCCGCGUGUGUGAAGAAGGUCUUCGGAUUGUAAAGCACUUUAAGUUGGGAGGAAGGGUUGUAGAUUAAUACUCUGCAAUUUUGACGUUACCGACAGAAUAAGCACCGGCUAACUCUGUGCCAGCAGCCGCGGUAAUACAGAGGGUGCAAGCGUUAAUCGGAAUUACUGGGCGUAAAGCGCGCGUAGGUGGUUUGUUAAGUUGGAUGUGAAAGCCCCGGGCUCAACCUGGGAACUGCAUUCAAAACUGACAAGCUAGAGUAUGGUAGAGGGUGGUGGAAUUUCCUGUGUAGCGGUGAAAUGCGUAGAUAUAGGAAGGAACACCAGUGGCGAAGGCGACCACCUGGACUGAUACUGACACUG
rnacentral:rRNA from 1 species